UCGUCGUUGAAGCCUGGAUGAUCAGACGGGUCUAAAGUUUGUCGUGUGAAGAGAGUUAGGAGUGAUUUCUCUUCCAUUAUCCGAGUGUCCUCCACUUGAAAUCCUAAAUAUCAACAUGUUCAGUUUUCUGGAGAGGAUAUCGUUUCCUAAGAUCACUCUCCAUUAUUUUGUGGAUCGAGCGGACAGCUAAUCGUGAGCUGACUUAAGAAGAAGGUACGACCUCGGGCUGCACGGUUUUGGCCGAGAAUUAAAUCCCGAUUUUCGAUUUCUUAUUCAGUGAUAACUUCACCAAACUUUACUUUAAUAAAAAGAUUUUCUAUCGUCUCUCAAAACGAAACCACUGAAAACGACGUAGUUCAUAUGCCAAGCCAGUAAGUGGCGCUGUAACGCUGAAGAAGAGUUCAGAUCAUGUGUAUAAAGGUUGUUUUGGCGCCAUAAAAGAGUUCCUCUGUGUGUCACAUGAUCGUUUCCAGAGAUGCAGAUAGACAUCCACACGGAGAUGAAAUGGUCGUCGUUUACAGAUUUAUUCACUCUCUGACCCGUUUUCAAAAAGUACCGUUUACAGUCACCUGAAACGCCGAUACGACAAAAAACUUUAGCGUUUCCUCCUGAAUUUGUUUCCGUGGUGACGGGUUGAUACCGCCUUCAGACAGACUUUGCAGCGGGGAGUGGUUUACUCUUCAUCUGAAACUGUGAAGUCGUACCAA